UACGUAGGGCGCGAGCGUUGUCCGGAUUUAUUGGGCGUAAAGAGCUCGUAGGCGGCUUGUCGCGUCGUCCGUGAAAACCUGUGGCUCAACUGCAGGCUUGCGGUCGAUACGGGCAGGCUAGAGUUCGGUAGGGGAGACUGGAAUUCCUGGUGUAGCGGUGAAAUGCGCAGAUAUCAGGAGGAACACCGGUGGCGAAGGCGGGUCUCUGGGCCGAUACUGACGCUGAGGAGCGAAAGCGUGGGGAGCGAACAGG
rnacentral:rRNA from 1 species